rnacentral:tRNA from 1 species
AGGAUAAUAGUUAAAAUUAACAUUAAAUUUGCAUUUUAAAAAAAAUUGGUUAUUCCCAAUUUAUCUUA